CCUACGGGAGGCAGCAGUGGGGAAUAUUGGACAAUGGGCGAAAGCCUGAUCCAGCCAUGCCGCGUGUGUGAAGAAGGCCUUCGGGUUGUAAAGCACUUUCAGUGGGGAAGAAAGCCUUGGGGCUAAUACCCUCGAGGAAGGACAUCACCCACAGAAGAAGCACCGGCCAACUCCGUGCCAGCAGCCGCGGUAAUACGGAGGGUGCGAGCGUUAAUCGGAAUUACUGGGCGUAAAGCGCGCGUAGGCGGUCUGAUAAGCCGGUUGUGAAAGCCCCGGGCUCAACCUGGGAACGGCAUCCGGAACUGUCAGGCUAGAGUGCAGGAGAGGAAGGUAGAAUUCCCGGUGUAGCGGUGAAAUGCUUAGAGAUCGGGAGGAAUACCAGUGGCGAAGGCGGCCUUCUGGACUGACACUGACGCUGAGGUGCGAAAGCGUGGGUAGCAAACAGGAUUAGAUACCCUGGUAGUC
rnacentral:rRNA from 1 species